UCGGAAGAUUUGAUUACAGGAAAAUAAUUGGGGAUUUGAAAAGAUAAUUUCACAUUUGGGUUUUAAGGAAAAAUAAUAGUUUGGAGACCUUCGAGAAUGAAUCUCGUCGAUCAGGACCCACCUUUGGAAUAAUUGUGAGUUCAGAUGUACACCGGUGUUGGUGAUUUCCAGCAGAGGUCGCCGAUGGUGGCCGUUAUCUGGACUUCAGCUUUUGGCUCUUCAAAGAAUUAAAUGAACGGAGGUGUUAACGGUGGAGUAUUGAUGAUAGAAGGUAUUGUUACAAACCUCGAGAAGUUAGCUUCCCAUUAAUGGUGGUGCUAGGCAGUUUUAUUCGGCGGUGGUCGCCGAAAUUUGGUGUGAAUUUCAGCCUGCUCGCCGGAAAGGGAAAUAAAAUCUGCUACGCAUCUGUUUUCGGAGCCAAAAUCGAAGGGUUUGGAGUGUGAAUUUGGGAAUCAUUCCUCCUCGAAAAUCGUAGAGGACCUCGAAAACUGUGUGUCAUUCGUGGUUGUGUACCUAAGAAAAUUUUGGUCUAUGAUGUUGCUUUUGGUGCUAACUCGAGCUAUGUUGGCGAAAUUCUGAGAAAUAGUAAACCUUCUGCCGCACCUGUUUUCGGAGCCAAAAUCGAAGGGUUUGGAGUGAGAUUUUCGAAUCAGUCUCUUCACAAAAGUCGUCGAGGACCAU